rnacentral:rRNA from 1 species
GCGGCGUGCCUAAUACAUGCAAGUCGAGCGAAUGGAUUGAGAGCUUGCUCUCAAGAAGUUAGCGGCGGACGGGUGAGUAACACGUGGGUAACCUGCCCAUAAGACUGGGAUAACUCCGGGAAACCGGGGCUAAUACCGGAUAACAUUUUGAACUGCAUGGUUCGAAAUUGAAAGGCGGCUUCGGCUGUCACUUAUGGAUGGACCCGCGUCGCAUUAGCUAGUUGGUGAGGUAACGGCUCACCAAGGCAACGAUGCGUAGCCGACCUGAGAGGGUGAUCGGCCACACUGGGACUGAGACACGGCCCAGACUCCUACGGGAGGCAGCAGUAGGGAAUCUUCCGCAAUGGACGAAAGUCUGACGGAGCAACGCCGCGUGAGUGAUGAAGGCUUUCGGGUCGUAAAACUCUGUUGUUAGGGAAGAACAAGUGUUAGUUGAAUAAGCUGGCACCUUGACGGUACCUAACCAGAAAGCCACGGCUAACUACGUGCCAGCAGCCGCGGUAAUACGUAGGUGGCAAGCGUUAUCCGGAAUUAUUGGGCGUAAAGCGCGCGCAGGUGGUUUCUUAAGUCUGAUGUGAAAGCCCACGGCUCAACCGUGGAGGGUCAUUGGAAACUGGGAGACUUGAGUGCAGAAGAGGAAAGUGGAAUUCCAUGUGUAG